UACGGGGGGAGCAAGCGUUGUUCGGAUUUACUGGGCGUAAAGGGCGCGUAGGCGGUCGUGACAAGUCACUUGUGAAAUCUCCGGGCUUAACUCGGAACGGUCAAGUGAUACUGUCGGACUAGAGUACAGAAGGGGCAACUGGAAUUCUCGGUGUAGCGGUGAAAUGCGUAGAUAUCGGGAGGAACACCAAUGGCGAAGGCAGCUCGCUGGGACGGUACUGACGCUGAGACGCGAAAGCGUGGGUAGCAAACAGG
rnacentral:rRNA from 1 species